AUGCCAACUUCUGUUUCGUUUUUACCGUUAUAUUAAAUCCGUCUCCUUUUUAAUAACAUUUAGGGUUUUUAGUUUGUUUUGUUACCGUGUCUAAUGUGAAAUUGGGGACCAACAGAAUGUGGAGGAUUCAUCACACGAUGAGUUUACUGGCGAUGGUGUGGUUGAGGUUGUUGUUGCAUCUGUGAAAGAAACCACAUCACUAAUGUGAACCUGAUAUCAUCAUUUUGGCUGCGCCAGUUGGCAGUGCGAUGGAAAGGAAUUGUGAGGAGUUUAGGACUAUGGGAAUCAGUGAGGGAAUUUGCAAGAAUGUAUGAUGCUGGCAUGGGCAUUUUAAUUUUUACACCAAUUGCUAUGUUAUCGUGGUUCCCAUUUGUCUCCACAUUCCAGUCCCGUUUUCUGUUUAAUUAAGCAUUUAGCCGUGGACCGGUCUCGAGAUCUCUCUUAUCCUCGCUGGCAACAAGGCUAAUGUUCAUGCGUAAUUUUAUCUGGCACGUGUAUUGAUGUUUAACCCUCUGUGUUUA
rnacentral:lncRNA from 1 species